rnacentral:piRNA from 1 species
UCAUGAAAGUUGUUCAUUUGGUUCAAUGGC